UACAGAGGUCUCAAGCGUUGUUCGGAUUCAUUGGGCGUAAAGGGUGCGUAGGCGGCGCGGUAAGUCGGGUGUGAAAUCUCGGAGCUUAACUCCGAAACUGCAUUCGAUACUGCCGUGCUUGAGGACUGGAGAGGAGACUGGAAUUUACGGUGUAGCGGUGAAAUGCGUAGAUAUCGUAAGGAAGACCAGUGGCGAAGGCGGAUCUCUGGACAGUUCCUGACGCUCAGGCACGAAAGCGUGGGGAUCAAACAGG
rnacentral:rRNA from 1 species